UGGCAAAACUCUCUUGCUCAGUUGGCCA
rnacentral:piRNA from 1 species